GCAAGUCGAGCGAGAAAUUUAUUAUUGAUCCUUCGGGAGAUUUAGUAAAUGGAAAGCGGCGGACGGGUGAGUAACGCGUGGGUAACCUGCCUUGUACUGGGGGAUAACAUAUUGAAAAGUAUGCUAAUACCGCAUAAGCGCACAGUAUCGCAUGAUACAGUGCGAAAAACUCCGGUGGUACAAGAUGGACCCGCGUCUGAUUAGCUAGUUGGUGAGGUAACGGCUCACCAAGGCAACGAUCAGUAGCCGGCCUGAGAGGGUGAAC
rnacentral:rRNA from 1 species